rnacentral:rRNA from 1 species
UACGUAGGGGGCAAGCGUUGUCCGGAUUUAUUGGGCGUAAAGAGCGUGUAGGCGGCUUGGUAGGUCCGCUGUGAAAACUCGAGGCUCAACCUCGAGAUGUCGGCGGAAACCACUUGGCUAGAGUCCGGAAGAGGAGAGUGGAAUUCCCGGUGUAGCGGUGAAAUGCGCAGAUAUCGGGAAGAACACCCGUGGCGAAGGCGGCUCUCUGGAACGCAACUGACGCUGAGACGCGAAAGCGUGGGGAGCAAACAGG